CCUACGGGAGGCUGCAGUGGGGAAUAUUGCACAAUGGGCGAAAGCCUGAUGCAGCGACGCCGCGUGGAGGAUGAAGGCCUUCGGGUCGUAAACUCCUGUCUGGGGGGAUGAAUUUUUGACAGUACCCCCGGAGGAAGCCCCGGCUAACUACGUGCCAGCAGCCGCGGUAAUACGUAGGGGGCGAGCGUUGUCCGGAAUUACUGGGCGUAAAGCGCGCGCAGGUGGCUUGUUAAGUCAGGUGUCAAAAUGCGGAGCUCAACUCCGCAGCGCACUUGAAACUGGCAGGCUUGAGUGCAGGAGAGGAAAGUGGAAUUCCUAGUGUAGCGGUGAAAUGCGUAGAUAUUAGGAGGAACACCAGUGGCGAAGGCGACUUUCUGGACUGCAACUGACACUGAGGCGCGAAAGCUAGGGGAGCAAACAGGAUUAGAUACCCGAGUAGUC
rnacentral:rRNA from 1 species